AUGUCGUCUGAGUACUAUAUAAUAGUUAAAACUUUCAACAACGGAUCUCUUGGUUCUGGCAUCGAUGAAGAACGCAGCGAAAUGCGAUAAGUAAUGUGAAUUGCAGAAUUCAGUGAAUCAUCGAAUCUUUGAACGCACAUUGCGCCCCUUGGUAUUCC
rnacentral:rRNA from 4 species